CAAGUACUCCCUCCGUCCGGAAAUACUUGUCAUCAAGAUGAAUAAAAAGGGAUGUAUCUAGAUGUAUUUUAGUUCUAGAUACAUCUCUUUUUAUCCAUUUUGAUGACAAGUAUUUUCGGACGGAGGGAGUACACA
rnacentral:pre_miRNA from 1 species